UGUUGCUUUGCAACCUACCAAUGCUUUAACAGUCUGAAAGAAGCGCUUUCGGGUGACUGUAUCAAUCAAGGUUCCUGUAGUCUGAGAGGAACGCUUUCGGGUGACUACAUUAUCUGCCAGACCUGAAAAGGCAGACAGUAAAUACUCUGGGUAAAUCC
rnacentral:sRNA from 1 species